rnacentral:rRNA from 1 species
GCUCAGUAACACGUGGAUAACCUACCCUUAGGACUGGGAUAACCCUGGGAAACUGGGGCUAAUACCGGAUAGAUGAUUUUUCCUGUAAUGGUUUUUUGUUUAAAUGUUUUUUCGCCUAAGGAUGGGUCUGCGGCAGAUUAGGUAGUUGGUUAGGUAAUGGCUUACCAAGCCUUUGAUCGGUACGGGUUGUGGGAGCAAGAGCCCGGAGAUGGAACCUGAGACAAGGUUCCAGGCCCUACGGGGUGCAGCAGGCGCGAAACCUCCGCAAUGUGAGAAAUCGCGACGGGGGGAUCCCAAGUGCUAUUCUUAACGGGAUAGCUUUUCUUUAGUGUAAAGAGCUUUUGGAAUAAGAGCUGGGCAAGACCGGUGCCAGCCGCCGCGGUAACACCGGCAGCUCUAGUGGUAGCAAUUUUUAUUGGGCCUAAAGCGUCCGUAGCCGGUUUAAUAAGUCUCUGGUGAAAUCCUGUAGCUUAACUAUGGGAAUUGCUGGAGAUACUAUUGGACUUGAGACCGGGAGAGGUUAGAGGUACUCCCAGGGUAGAGGUGAAAUUCUGUAAUCCUGGGAGGACCGCCUGUUGCGAAGGCGUCUGACUGGAACGGUUCUGACGGUGAGGGACGAAAGUUAGGGGCGCGAACCGGAUUAGAUACCCGGGUAGUCCUAACUGUAAACGAUGCGGACUUGGUGUUGGGGUGGCUUUGAGCUGCUCCAGUGCCGAAGGGAAGCUGUUAAGUCCGCCGCCUGGGAAGUACGGUCGCAAGACUGAAACUUAA